UACAGAGGUGUCAAACGUUGUCCGGAAUUACUGGGCGUAAAGGGCGUGUAGGCGGUUGCGUAAGUCAGACGUGAAAUCUCAGGGCUCAACCCUGGAAUUGCGUUUGAAACUGCGUAGCUAGAGUUCGGAAGAGGAGGGCGGAAUUCCAGGUGUAGCGGUGAAAUGCGUAGAUAUCAGGAGGAAUACCGAUGGCGAAGGCAGGUCUCUGGGCUGACACUGACGCUCAUGCACGAAAGCGUGGGGAGCAAACAGG
rnacentral:rRNA from 1 species